GGCCCCAUGGUGUAAUGGUUAGCACUUUGGACUCUGAAACCAGCGAUCCGAGUUCAAUAUCGUUGGGACCU
rnacentral:tRNA from 1 species